rnacentral:rRNA from 1 species
AUUAAACGCUGGCGGCAUGCCUUACACAUGCAAGUCGAACGGCAGCGGACCUUCGGGUGCCGGCGAGUGGCGAACGGGUGAGUAAUGUAUCGGAACGUACCUUUCAGUGGGGGAUAACGUAGCGAAAGUUACGCUAAUACCGCAUAUUCUGUGAGCAGGAAAGCAGGGGAUCGCAAGACCUUGCGCUGAUUGAGCGGCCGAUAUCAGAUUAGCUAGUUGGUGAGGUAAAGGCUCACCAAGGCGACGAUCUGUAGCGGGUCUGAGAGGAUGAUCCGCCACAAUGGAACUGAGACACGGUCUAGACUCCUACGGGAGGCAGCAGUGGGGAAUUUUGGACAAUGGGGGCAACCCUGAUCCAGCCAUGCCGCGUGAGUGAAGAAGGCCUUCGGGUUGUAAGGCUCUUUCGGCCGGGAAGAAAUCGUAUGGGUUAAUACCCUGUGCGGAUGACGGUACCGGCAUAAGAAGCACCGGCUAACUACGUGCCAGCCGCCGCCGUAAAAC